UAGAUUUAUGAGCUUUUGUUUGAUUACUAAGAUGUGUAGGGAAAUAAGGAGGGUUUAAUUUUUUUUUUUAAGGGAUUAUUAAGUGAUUUUAUUACUAUGUGUGGGGAGGUAAAAAAUGUUUGAUUGUUUUUCAUUAGAAGAUAAGAAGAUGAUUUUUUGCAAAAAUAUUAUAAAAAAAUAAGAUGAUUUUUUAUAUUCUUCAUUUAUUUUAUUAUCAAUUUCAUAUAUAAAAUCUUAAUCGCAUUGUUGUUAAUUCUAAUUCAUAUUUAUAUACGCAUUUUAGCUUAUAUUAUUAUUCGAAUAGUAUUCAAGUAUAUAUUCGAUUCACAUUCGAAUCCGAAAACAUAUUCAAUCGUAUUCGAAUCUAUUUUUUACCGCUAUGGUAAUAAAAUCUAUCAUCAAAAACAUAUUUGUA
rnacentral:lncRNA from 1 species